UCCCCAUCGGCUCAACAGGCUGUGACCUCGGGAGAGAAAGACAGAGAGUCAGAGGCUGGUCAGACGGGCGAAAUGGAAACCCACCCCUCCGGCCGCCCCGGCCCCACCACCAGACCCGGUCCGGCAUGCACGAUCGAGAGGCCGGACGCCUUCCCCGCCCCAUCCCGGGGGCGUCCCGCUUCGUCCCGGCCCCACAGGAGACGGGGAGGCGAAGGACGGGUGGUUUCAGGUGGCAGCCGACAGCCGACCGAGGUCGGAGACCAGAGCCCGAAGUCCUCGCUGGCCCGGGCACGUGGACGCGCUGCCGGCUCGAAGGCGGAGGCCAAUCUGUGCCACCGGAUCCUCUCUCCUCUUACCGUUGGCCAAAGGGCAGCUGGGAGAGUACAACGCAACAGAAUCGGUAGACGAUCCCUGCCCACAAGGAGAGCCCGGUUCCCGGGGGGGGGGAGAUGAAAUAAAUAAACUACGCAUACGUCGUAAG